GAACCACUGAGUUCCAAUUGAAAAUGACACCACAAAGUGUUAUCGUUCCUCAAUGCAUUAUGUAUAUGUAUAUAUACUAAUACAUUUUAUAAUAAUGUAACCAGGUCAAAAGUUACAAAAGUUAUCACUGGACUGAUUAGUAAAAGCUUGAUGUUAAGGGACUCAGCAUGUAUCACACUGUAGCAUGUUCCAUCCAAUACGCUAGCCCUUUAAGAAAUGUGAAUGUGUGACGUUCUGGAAGUGUCGCGAGAUUCGCCUGUAAACAGCGCGUUUUCAUAACGUGUUUUGAAUGCUGCUCAUGCGGUGGAGCGUCGAAGCCAUAAAACUCCGUGUUAUUAUCAAUAUAAUGAGAGAGAUGCACAUAUAGUGACUGGAAAGCCUUCUUUAAUAUUUUGUUCAUGCGGAUGGCUGUGUAUUGUGCUGAGUGACCGUGAUUUCUGUCGAGACACGUACCCAUGUGACGAAAUCAGAUCGACAAUAGAUCUCGAAGCAGGGGAGAAGAGAGCUCUGUAGGCCUUCUGUUUCCUCAGGCCGAGUGUGAAGCAACAGAAGGGGAAAUUGAGUUCAUCAUUGGCUGUGAAAGCGUGUACAAUGCUAUGGUGAUGCUAUGAUGAUGAACAGUAAGUUUGAAUUAGUUGACGUUUAAAGUGUACAAGUGUUAAUUUACUGUGAUUUGAGAUUGAGUGAAUAUUAGCCAGUGUAAUGUAUUAAUGUUACUGGGAAUUGUGGCUUGUAAUUUCAUUUUUAUGCAUGUUAUGUUACAUAAGCAGCCUUAUUUGAUCUUCUAUGCAUGCUGACAAAUCUUGUAACACUCUGUGUAUUUGUUUUUCAGUAUAAGAGUCCACUAUCGUUGUCUAUGUUGGUUAUAUUCAUGUAAUUGACCUGUUAAUGUGGUGACUGAGAACAAAGAGACAAGAGAGUUUGAUGUAAAGAAAAAAUAACAUCUUUAUUGAUUUCAACCACUGUAACAAGCCUUACUGUGUAACACCUUUAAGAUUUGCAUAAUUAACGCUGCACUGUUAAGUGCAGUCUGGAAUAAACGAUCCCCUUAAAAAAAAUUAUUAAUUCCUGUGUCCGGUGUAGUCACUAACACUCACACCGGGCCACAAUAAUAUAAUAUAAUAUAGUAUAAUAUAAUAUAAUAUAGUAUAAUAUAAUAUAAUAUACAUGCAAAUCAGAGUUAUUAUAUUUAACAAAAAUAAAAUAUUAUAAAGUACAUAGACACACACACACACACACACACACACACACCAAAACUAAAAAACACAACUAAAUUGCUAAAACUUAAAUGAAAAAAAAAAAAUACAAAUAUUAGUGAGAAACUAAUUUCUGAUUUCUAAUUUAUAUCAUCUUGAUUUACUAUCUUGGACACAUAUCAAUAGUGUAGAUUAAAUUAUUAUAAAAGUCAUCUUCAUUGGAUUUUUUUUUUUUUUUUUUUUUUUUGCAGUCAUAGCUUUGUCAAUGUAAUAAAGAGAGCCCACCUAAACUCAUUGCUCAUUAAAUAUUCUUAAUCAUUAUCAGAUGGUGGUCCAGAUGGUCCGUGGUGCAGUUCAUUUUGCCAGGUCAUUU
ensembl:lncRNA